CGGGGUGUAGCGCAGUUGGCUAGCGUGCUACGUUCGGGACGUAGAGGUCGCGAGUUCGAAUCUCGCCACCCCGA
rnacentral:tRNA from 1 species